GUUUCAACUUCAUCCCAUCUUCGUUUGUCAGAUUUUGUUCCUCAAUCACCACCAAUUCUCCUCCAGAAUUCUUAGGUGGCCUACCAGGCCCUCUCUUCUGUUCCUCAAUCACCACCAAUUCUCCUCCAGAAUUCUUAGGUGGCCUACAAGGCCCUCUCUUCUGUUCCUCAAUCACCACCAAUUCUCCUCCAGAAUUCUUAGGUGGCCUACCAGGCCCUCUCUUCUGUUCCUCAAUCACCACCAAUUCUCCUCCAGAAUUCUUAGGUGGCCUACCAGGCCCUCUCUUCUGUUGCGGCUUCUCCAUGCAAUCCAUUUGAUUAUAUGAGUCAAUCACUUCCCCUUGUGCUUCUUUCUGUCUGACAUAUGUCUUACUUCCCAGAUUUUUAGGAGGCCUACCACGUCCCCUCUUC
rnacentral:lncRNA from 1 species